UGUCACGGGUUAGUUUUCGACCCCGUGUGGCGUCCCCAAGUCCCGGGGACAAGCCAAUCCAUCCCGCUUCUUUGUGUGGGUCACUGGUUUCGUCCUGCCUUGGACUCAUCAGGAGAGCGGCGCCAGCUCUCGACCAGUGGUGCGUUCGUCGUUUGCACGACUAGGCACGUACACCUCUUCAUUGACACUGACUCCGUCCCCCGAUAAAGUCCAGGACUAGCCAGUGACCCAAGCGUUCAAGCACAGCCCAUAGCAUUGCGAUCUUCAAAUUUGGCCCGUGACACUCUCCCCACCAUUUCAUGCACGUCCUCGUGCAUGCUCGCCGUCCCAUACCAGCUCGCAUACUUGACAAUGCAUGAUCCCCUUAAUGUUGAGCAUGAUUUCACUUUGGAGGGUAGGACACCGAAGCACAGCAACAAUGAUCUUCUGUCGUGCAUGUUCAAUAUAGUACGUCAGUUUUGGUUUUAAGUGGCGCUGACGUCCGCCGGCAUCGGAAUUAGGUGCCGAUGUUUCACCUUGUUUCAGGAAUAUGGGAAACCUGAAUAAUGUAGCAGCUUUCACAAAACUUCCUUUUACGGCGCUGCUUGGACCGUAGAUUUUUGAACAUAACACGGAGGGCUUCACUGCAACUAUACUUGAGCGGCUCUCACGAUCCCUACUCGCGGAGUACAAAGACCUUUGCGAGCAAACCCAUAUUUGGUCUUCUCCCACCACAUUGCGCAAACCAUACUCUAAAAUGUUAAGCUCAUUUGGUUAAGAGUCACGUUCCAACGUAUCCGAGAAUCGUUCUGCUCUGAUACCAAGUUGUCACGGGGUAGUUUCCGACCCCGUGUGGAGUCCCCAAGUCCCGGGGACAGCCAAUCCAUCCCGCUUCUUUGUGUGGGUCACGGGGUUUCGUCCUGCCUUGGACUCCAUCAGGAGAGCGGCGCCAGCUCUCGACCAGUGGUGCGUUCGUCGUUGCAACGACUAGGCACGUACACCUCUUCAUUGACAGUCUGACUCCGUCCCCCGAUAAAGCCAGGACUAGCCAGUGACCCCCAAGCCGUGCAAGCCACAGCCCAUAGCAUUGCGAUCUUCAACAUUUGGCCCCCGUGACACUACGCUCUGUAUACAAUUAGCAUGGAUAACAUCAAUAGGAUUUCGGUCCUAUGUAACGUUGGCCUUCGGGAUCCGGAAGUAAUGAAUUAACCAGGGACAGUCGGGGGCAUUCGUAUUUACAAUAGUCAGGAGGGUGAAAAUUCUUGGAUUUAAUGAAAGACGAACAACGCGAAAGCAUUUGCCAAGGAUGUUUUCAUUAAUCAAGGAACGAAAGUUUUGGGGGCUCGAGACGAUCAGAUACCGUCCUAGUCUCAAACCAUAGAACGAAUGCCGACCAGGGAUCAGCGAUGUUUGCUUUUAAGGACUCCGCUGGCACCUUAAUGAGAAAUCAAAGUUUUUGGUUCGGGGGGAGUAUGGUCGUCAAGGCUGAAACUUAAGGAAUUGACGGAAGGGCACCACCAGGGAUGGAAGCCUGCGGCUUUAAUUUGACUCAAUACACGGGGAAACUUACCAGGUCCAGUACAUAGUAGGAAUUGACAGACUGAGAGCUCUUUCUUGAUUCUAUGGGUGGUGGUUGCAUUGGCCGUCUUAGUUGGUGAGCGAUUUUGUCUGGUUAAUUCCGUUAACGAAGAGAACUCAGCCUGCAAUAUUAUGCUAAUGUGGAGGGUUCCCUCGCAUGGAGCCAGCAGCUUCUUAAGAGGGACUAUGGCCUUUUAGCACGGAAGUUUGAGGCAAUAACAGGUCUGUGAUGCCCUUGAGAUGUUCUGGGCGCACAGCGAGCGCUACACUGAUGUAUUCAAACGAGUAUAUAGCCUUGGCCGACAGGCCCGGGAAAUCUUUGAAAUUUCAUCGUGAUGGGGAAGAUCAUUGGCAAUUGUUGGUACUAAACGAGGAUUCGCUAGUAAGCGCGAGUCCAUCCAGCUCGCGUUGACUACGUCCGCUGCACCUUUGUAACAACACGCCCGUCGCUCCUACCGAUUGAAUGGUCCGGUGAAGUGUUAAGGAUCGUGGCGACGUGGGCGGUUCCCGCUGCCCGCGAACGUCGCGAGAAUUCCACUGAAACCUUAUCAUUUAGAGGAAGGAAGUCGUAACAAGGUUUCCGUAGGUGAACCCUGCGGAAGGAUAUGUC
rfam:Helianthus annuus unplaced genomic scaffold HanXRQChr00c1416, whole genome shotgun sequence.